AUUGAACGCUGGCGGCAGGCCUAACACAUGCAAGUCGAACGAGUGGCGGACGGGUGAGUAAUGUCUGGGAAACUGCAAGAUGGAGGGGGAUAAAUACUGGAAACGGUAGCUAAUACCGCAUACCAUCGGAUGGUCACAGCUGGGAUUAGCUAGUAGGUGGGGUAACGGCGAACCUAGGCGACGAUCCCUAGCUGGUCUGAGAGGAUGACCAGCCAAACUGGAACUGAGACACGGUCCAGACUCCUACGGGAGGCAGCAGUUGGGAAUAUGGCACAAUGGGCGCAAGCCUGAUGCAGCCAUGCCGCGUGUAUGAAGAAGGCCUUCGGGUUUUAAAGUACUUUCAGCGAGGAGGCGUUACUCGCAGAAGAAGCACCGGCUAACUCCGUGCCAGCAGCCGCGGUAAUAC
rnacentral:rRNA from 1 species